rnacentral:rRNA from 1 species
CAGCAGCCGCGGUAAACCGUAGGAGUCAAGCGUUAUCCGAAUUUACUGGGCGUAAAGCGCGUGCAGGCGGUGUGGUAAGUUGGAUGUGAAAGCUCCCGGCUCAACUGGGAGAGGCCAUUCAAUACUGCCAGACUAGAGGACGGUAGAGGAAAGUGGAAUUCCCGGU